CUUGAGCAGCCACUAUCCAAAUACCAGCAGUUUUUGUUGACCUUGGCUGCAAGACACUCCUACACAAACAAAUCAUGUCAUCUUAGGUACCCAAGUUUUCUUGGGUCCUUCAUGGUUAGUCAAGUUGGUUCCUUUUGGAACCCAUACCCUUUUAAUUUUUCUUUUAGUUUUCCUUUUCCUAUAGUCACAUGCAUUUGCCUUAUGUCCUAUAUUUCCACAACAAAAACAGGUUAUUUUCUUAGUUUUAUUUUCCCCAGCUUUGACAAAGAAGUUACUAAGAAAUUUUUGUUUAUUUUUUGGUUUAUACCCUAAACCCGCUUUAUUAAAUACGGCUCGUUGAUUGUUAAGUAUCAUGUUUAACUUUUCAGAACUAUA
rnacentral:lncRNA from 1 species